AUACGGAGAUAGCUGUGGGAUUCAGAUGAUUUGCUAUCAAGGUCUACAUGUUAUGGAUAUUCCGUCUGCUUUGAGUCACUGAGAGAGGGUUGAAACCUCCCACUCUACUUGUGUAUUUGCUCGUUGUUGCAGUUCUGUCCUGCUUUGCUUUCUAUGUUGUUCAGCCAAUGGCUCUAGGACAGGAGUUCUGGAAGCAAGGAGAGCGUGCCCAGAAGAGGGGAAGAGGCACUUGGGUUGGGAGGGAACAGAAACAAGAAGGACGGCCACAGUUCCAGAGAGGACCUGUUAUUGGGAUGGCGCGGUGGUGGGGCACCAGGUGGGAAGAGGCUAUUUAAAUAUGAGGUCACGCGGGGUGUCCAUUAUGAUCUACCAGGGGCAAAGGCAGCUGAUUGUUUGAGAGAGUAUAAAGUCUCUGGGUUGCUAAGGAAUGGUUCAACCAGGGGAAGGCUUGGAGAUCGGUGGAUCCUCCUCCAAACCCUUAAGCUGCUACUGUUUCAUGCUGACCUAGUGAUUUCCUGACCUAGUGAUUUACUCACCUGCUGACCUACUCCCCUUCCUGAACCUGCCCUCGAGUACUUAAUCUGACCCUGACACUGUCCUUGACCCCUUCUUCUCCUGACAAACGCCUUCCCCAGUCCCACCCUCUAUUUCUACCUCCUUAAAACCCUGUCCCCUUCCCACCCCUCCCUACCCACCCACCCCUCCCUCCUCUCCACCCCCCAUCACCACCUCCUCCCCAGCACCCCAGCGCCCCUUGAAAGGACCAAGACAUGAAGGUGCAGAGGCUGUUGUUCUGGCUGCUCUUGCUCCGGUGUCCCAGUUCCCCAAACCCAAAUCUUGUCCGUGUUGUGCCUGACCAUUUCCUUCUUGGCCCUGAUGGGGUUGGAGUUCUAUGGAAACUUCCCAUUAUCACUGCCUCCUUGGGAAUUUGUCUGUUUCUCAUUUAUAUCUGGAGAACCAUUCUCGCUGUGAGUAUACUAAAGUAGCUUAUAUAUACUGUUCUUCAUAAAUAAGCAGAAAAUUGUAUAGUCACUGCACCUUUUCUAUCCAUUCAGUAAUAUAAAUUUCCCUCUAAUACAUCAAUUUUGAUGAUCACCUAGAUUGAAAUACAUUUAAAUUUGUGUUGCAGUGCCUUCUGUGAUC
rnacentral:lncRNA from 1 species